UGGGCAAAUUGCUUGCGUCUGCCUGCUGC
rnacentral:piRNA from 1 species